UUUCAACGAGGCGUGAAGGGUGGGAUGGUUUUCCCCGACAGCUCUGGGCGCUGCCAGCUUCAGGCUGAGGGAGUUAUUUUGGGGUUUCAUCCUUUCCUUGUGCUCGUAGCCCUUGGAAUGUGGGCUCAUCGCUGCUCCGUGGCUGUUCCGCUGAUGGCAUGAAGACAAGUCUGAGGGACCUUCUCCACAGCCAGAAACACUCUGAUGCUGUGCAGAGCUGGGCCAGGCAGAGGGUGUCAGGCUGGCCGCAGAGAUGGGCUCCACCUCUAUGUGGAAGCAGUGGUCAGGAGACAAAGGAGCAUUGAGGCCCACAAGUCUCCAGUACCAUUGUGAUGGAAAUGCUCAUGGGGCUGGCAAAGAAGUGUCUGGAUACUCUUCUCAGCUCUGUGACCGUGGCAUAUCCCCAGCCACCGGUUCUGCUUCCUCGGAAGAGUUUUUGGACCCAGAGCUGUGCUGUUACUCCAGGUUUUGCCCAGCACCUCCAUCAGUGUCCCCCAGCAGUGGUUUGGAGGCACCUGGAGUAAGACACAAGUAGAAACCUUCUAUUUCAGGGUCUCAUCCCAUCCAUGGAAUAAGCAAAAUCUGGGUGAAGGCAGCGAAGCACCGAUCUCAGCUCAGUUUUUAUCUGCUUGUGGCAGCAGGGCAGGAUGUGGCUGGUGCUGAGUUGCUUUUGGAAAGGGUGGUGCUUCUUUGAUGUGAAGUCACUACAAUGCUUAGGUCAAGGGCAUCUUCGAUGCUUUCUGAAGCCCUCUCCUGUCCCAUUCCUGCCGUGGCCCGUGGGGCUGUGUGGGUGCACCACGCCCCUGGGGCACCUGAGACACUCCAAGGCUCCAAGAGGUCACCAAGCCUCACCAGACUCUUCGUGUCCGGUCAAAAACCUCCGAACAGCACAAAGCGCAUUGUUAUUCCCAGAGCCAUUAUCUGCACCCAUCCUCCUCCCGGUGCUUUCUAAGGGACUCCCGGUCCCUGUGCUCCUGAUCCGGCAGGGGAGAGCAGGGUGGGACUGGGACAGCUCUGCCCUGGCAACCUUGAGGAGAUCCUGAGGCUGAUGAGCCGGAUCCCCCCGGAGCCUCCCUUCCCUGCAGGAAGCCUGGAACCUCCUCCACGGUGUCUCCAUUGUGCCUGGCAAGGGUUCGUCACCUCCCAGCUCCCUGGCACAGCGCGUUUGUGCGCUCAGACGGAAGGAUGCUGGCUCGCUUUGCCGCUGCUGGGCCGCGUUACAGUCCGCUGUCCCUGGCAAUUCGCGACGCGCCAUCGCCCCGGGGCACGGCAGGAGCCGCGGCUCGCACAGAUGCCUUUCACACACGGGUCAAAGCCCAGGGAAAACCCGCAGGUAUUCGCUCAGCCGGUGCCCGUGCUGCGGGCAGAGGGGCUGGGCUGUGACUGGCACAAGGCCAGGCUGGCACGCCUUGCCGGGCCUUGGGAGAGCCCGUUCAUGGGGCCGGGGGGCUGUGAGCAUCCUGCCCUGGGCUGUUAAAGGGACAAAAAUGCCGUCUCUUCUGUGGAGAUGGAGGAUGUGAAAUAUCCUUACGAUGUUGCCUCGGUGGGUGCCAGCCCUCGGCCUACGACAGCCCCUGCUUUGUGUUGACCAAACAAGACAGCAGAUGGACUAAGCAAAUA